GCUGAUGCGUUGUUGGGUAGGGGAGCGUUCUGUAAGCCUGCGAAGGUGACCUGUGAGGGUUGCUGGAGGUAUCAGAAGUGCGAAUGCUGACAUAAGUAACGAUAAAGCGGGUGAAAAGCCCGCUCGCCGGAAGACCAAGGGUUCCUGUCCAACGUUAAUCGGGGCAGGGUGAGUCGACCCCUAAGGCGAGGCCGAAAGGCGUAGUCGAUGGGAAACGGGUUAAUAUUCCCGUACUUGGUGUUACUGCGAAGGGGGGACGGAGAAGGCUAUGUUGGCCGGGCGACGGUUGUCCCGGUUUAAGCGUGUAGGUGUGUGUUCCAGGUAAAUCCGGUUCACUUUAACACUGAGGCGUGAUGACGAGGCACUACGGUGCUGAAGCAACAAAUGCCCUGCUUCCAGGAAAAGCCUCUAAGCAUCAGGUAACAUCAAAUCGUACCCCAAACCGACACAGGUGGUCAGGUAGAGAAUACCAAGGCGCUUGAGAGAACUCGGGUGAAGGAACUAGGCAAAAUGGUGCCGUAACUUCGGGAGAAGGCACGCUGACACGUAGGUGAAGUGAUUUACUCAUGGAGCUGAAGUCAGUCGAAGAUACCAGCUGGCUGCAACUGUUUAUUAAAAACACAGCACUGUGCAAACACGAAAGUGGACGUAUACGGUGUGACGCCUGCCCGGUGCCGGAAGGUUAAUUGAUGGGGUCAGCGCAAGCGAAGCUCCUGAUCGAAGCCCCGGUAAACGGCGGCCGUAACUAUAACGGUCCUAAGGUAGCGAAAUUCCUUGUCGGGUAAGUUCCGACCUGCACGAAUGGCGUAAUGAUGGCCAGGCUGUCUCCACCCGAGACUCAGUGAAAUUGAACUCGCUGUGAAGAUGCAGUGUACCCGCGGCAAGACGGAAAGACCCCGUGAACCUUUACUAUAGCUUGACACUGAACAUUGAGCCUUGAUGUGUAGGAUAGGUGGGAGGCUUUGAAGUGUGGACGCCAGUCUGCAUGGAGCCGACCUUGAAAUACCACCCUUUAAUGUUUGAUGUUCUAACGUGGACCCGUAAUCCGGGUUGCGGACAGUGUCUGGUGGGUAGUUUGACUGGGGCGGUCUCCUCCUAAAGAGUAACGGAGGAGCACGAAGGUUGGCUAAUCCUGGUCGGACAUCAGGAGGUUAGUGCAAUGGCAUAAGCCAGCUUGACUGCGAGCGUGACGGCGCGAGCAGGUGCGAAAGCAGGUCAUAGUGAUCCGGUGGUUCUGAAUGGAAGGGCCAUCGCUCAACGGAUAAAAGGUACUCCGGGGAUAACAGGCUGAUACCGCCCAAGAGUUCAUAUCGACGGCGGUGUUUGGCACCUCGAUGUCGGCUCAUCACAUCCUGGGGCUGAAGUAGGUCCCAAGGGUAUGGCUGUUCGCCAUUUAAAGUGGUACGCGAGCUGGGUUUAGAACGUCGUGAGACAGUUCGGUCCCUAUCUGCCGUGGGCGCUGGAGAACUGAGGGGGGCUGCUCCUAGUACGAGAGGACCGGAGUGGACGCAUCACUGGUGUUCGGGUUGUCAUGCCAAUGGCACUGCCCGGUAGCUAAAUGCGGAAGAGAUAAGUGCUGAAAGCAUCUAAGCACGAAACUUGCCCCGA
rnacentral:rRNA from 1 species